UGGGGAAUUUUGGACAAUGGGGGCAACCCUGAUCCAGCCAUUCCGCGUGUGUGAUGAAGGCCUUCGGGUUGUAAAGCACUUUUGGCAGAGAAGAAAUGGCACGGGCUAAUAUCCUGUGUCGAUGACGGUAUCUGCAGAAUAAGCACCGGCUAACUACGUGCCAGCAGCCGCGGUAAUACGUAGGGUGCAAGCGUUAAUCGGAAUUACUGGGCGUAAAGCGUGCGCAGGCGGUUCGGAAAGAAAGAUGUGAAAUCCCAGGGCUCAACCUUGGAACUGCAUUUUUAACUCCCGGACUAGAGUAUGUCAGAGGGGGGUGGAAUUCCACGUGUAGCAGUGAAAUGCGUAGAGAUGUGGAGGAACACCGAUGGCGAAGGCAGCCCCCUGGGAUAAUACUGACGCUCAGGCACGAAAGCGUGGGUAGCAAACAGG
rnacentral:rRNA from 1 species